rnacentral:rRNA from 1 species
CGAAACGGGUAGAGUAACACGUAAACAACCUGCCUUCAGGAUGGGGACAACAGACGGAAACGACUGCUAAUACCGAAUAAGUUCCAAGAGCCGCAUGGCCCAUGGAAGAAAAGGUGGCCUCUACCUGUAAGCUAUCGCCUGAAGAGGGGUUUGCGUCCGAUUAGAUAGUAGGCGGGGUAACGGCCCACCUAGUCGACGAUCGGUAGCCGGACUGAGAGGUUGAACGGCCACAUUGGGACUGAGACACGGCCCAGACUCCUACGGGAGGCAGCAUG